AUGAACGCUGGCGGCGUGCCUAAUACAUGCAAGUCGAACGCUUCACUUCGGUGAAGAGUGGCGAACGGGUGAGUAAUACAUAAGUAACCUGGCAUCUACAGGGGGAUAACUGAUGGAAACGUCAGCUAAGACCGCAUAGGUGUAGAGAUCGCAUGAACUCUAUAUGAAAAGUGCUACGGGACUGGUAGAUGAUGGACUUAUGGCGCAUUAGCUUGUUGGUAGGGUAACGGCCUACCAAGGCGACGAUGCGUAGCCGACCUGAGAGGGUGACCGGCCACACUGGGACUGAGACACGGCCCAGACUCCUACGGGAGGCAGCAGUAGGGAAUUUUCGGCAAUGGGGGAAACCCUGACCGAGCAACGCCGCGUGAAGGAAGAAGUAAUUCGUUAUGUAAACUUCUGUCAUAGAGGAAGAACGGUGGAUAUAGGGAAUGAUAUCCAAGUGACGGUACUCUAUAAGAAAGCCACGGCUAACUACGUGCCAGCAGCCGCGGUAAUACGUAGGUGGCGAGCGUUAUCCGGAAUUAUUGGGCGUAAAGAGGGAGCAGGCGGCACUAAGGGUCUGUGGUGAAAGAUCGAAGCUUAACUUCGGUAAGCCAUGGAAACCGUAGAGCUAGAGUGUGUGAGAGGAUCGUGGAAUUCCAUGUGUAGCGGUGAAAUGCGUAGAUAUAUGGAGGAACACCAGUGGCGAAGGCGACGAUCUGGCGCAUAACUGACGCUCAGUCCCGAAAGCGUGGGGAGCAAAUAGGAUUAGAUACCCUAGUAGUCCACGCCGUAAACGAUGAGUACUAAGUGUUGGGUGUCAAAGCUCAGUGCUGCAGUUAACGCAAUAAGUACUCCGCCUGAGUAGUACGUUCGCAAGAAUGAAACUCAAAGGAAUUGACGGGGGCCCGCACAAGCGGUGGAGCAUGUGGUUUAAUUCGAUGCAACGCGAAGAACCUUACCUGGUCUUGACAUCCACAGAACUUUCCAGAGAUGGAUUGGUGCCUUCGGGAACUGUGAGACAGGUGCUGCAUGGCUGUCGUCAGCUCGUGUUGUGAAAUGUUGGGUUAAGUCCCGCAACGAGCGCAACCCCUGUUGCCAGUUGCCAGCAUUAAGUUGGGGACUCUGGCGAGACUGCCGGUGACAAGCCGGAGGAAGGCGGGGAUGACGUCAAAUCAUCAUGCCCCUUAUGACCUGGGCUACACACGUGCUACAAUGGACAGAGCAGAGGGAAGCGAAGCCGCGAGGUGGAGCGAAACCCAUAAAACUGUUCUCAGUUCGGACUGCAGUCUGCAACUCGACUGCACGAAGAUGGAAUCGCUAGUAAUCGCGAAUCAGCAUGUCGCGGUGAAUACGUUCUCGGGCCUUGUACACACCGCCCGUCACACCAUGAGAGUCGGUAACACCCGAAGCCGGUGGCCUAACCGCAAGGAAGGAGCUGUCUAAGGUGGGACUGAUGAUUGGGGUG
rnacentral:rRNA from 1 species